CCAAUAGCGUAUAUUAAAGUUGUUGCAGUUAAAAAGCUCGUAGUUGAAUUUCGGGAUUGACAUGUUGGUCGUGCCUUAAGGGGUAUGAACUGGCAUUGUCGAUUUCUCACCUUCUGGAGAAUCACGAUGCUCUUAAUUGGGUGUCGUGUGGAUCCAGGACCUUUACCUUGAAAAAAUUAGAGUGUUUAAAGCAGGCAUUU
rnacentral:rRNA from 1 species